rnacentral:rRNA from 1 species
GGGCCCGCACAAGCGGUGGAGCAUGUGGUUUAAUUCGACGCAACGCGAAAACCUUACCAAGGCUUGACAUCGUCCUUGAUAUCCCAGAGAUGGGAUAGCCCUUCGGGGGAGGAUAGACAGGUGGUGCAUGGUUGUCGUCAGCUCGUGUCGUGAGAUGUUGGGUUAAGUCCCGCAACGAGCGCAACCCUUAUCUUUAGUAGCCAUCAGGUAAAGCUGGGCACUCUAAAGAGACUGCCGUGGAUAACACGGAGGAAGGUGGGGAUGACGUCAAAUCAUCAUGCCCUUUAUGUCUUGGGCUACACACGUGCUACAAUGGCAGAUACAAAGUGACGCAAGACCGCGAGGUUAAGCAAAGCACAAAAAAGCUGCCCCAGUUCGGAUUGCAGGCUGCAACUCGCCUGCAUGAAGCUGGAAUCGCUAGUAAUCGCGAAUCAGCAUGUCG